rnacentral:rRNA from 1 species
AUUUACAUUAAUAAUUUUGUUGUGCAAUUCAACACAAUUUGAAACUUAUUUAUUAAUAAUUUUUUUGUUUUUGUUUUUAAUAAAAAUAUUUUGUUUUUUAGUAUUAUAUAAUUAAUAUUUUUUAUUUUUAGUUAAUUUAACUGUAAAGGUUUAUUAAUUUUCAAAAAAAAGUAGUUUUUGUUUUUUGUACCUUUUGCAUCAGGGUUUAUUAAAUUAAAAGAAUUAUUUUUUUUUCUCGAAAUUUUUAGAUUUAAGAAUUAAUGUUUUUUUUUGUUAUAAAAAAAUUUAUAAUUUUUUCUUAGAGGUUAUAUGCUUUUCAUUAAAAUUGAUAUUUAGUUUAUUAAUACUUGAAUUUAAUUCAGUUUUAAUUAGUGUUUAUUAUUAUUUAAUUUUUAACAUUUUUUAAAAAAACUUUUUUGGGGAUAAUCUUGAAUUAGUUUUUAUAAAUUUUUAAAUUAAGAUUUUUUAUAGGAUUAAAAAUUUCCUUUAUUAUAUUUUUUUAUAAUAAAUAAUCUUUAAUUAUAAUUUAUUUUAUUUUAGUUUUUUAUUAAUAUAAUUAUUAUAAUUUUUUUUAUUUUGAAAUAAUGAUAAAAUAAGUAAUUUUUUUAAUUUAAAUAUAUGAACUCGGCAAUAUAUAUAUUCACCUGUUUAUCAAAAACAUGUCCUUUUGAUUUAAUUUAAGGUCUGACCUGCCCGUUGAUAUUUAAUUAUUGAAAGGCUGCGGUAUUUUAACUGUACGAAGGUAGCAUAAUCAUUUGUCUUUUAAUUGAAGGCUAGUAUGAAUGGUUUGAUGAAAAAUAUACUUUAUUUAUUUAAUUAUUUUGAAUUUAAUUUUUUAUUUAAAAAGAUAAAAUUUUUUUAUAGGACGAGAAGACCCUUUAGAAGUUUACUUAAUUUAUUAAUUUUAAUUUUUUGUUUAUAAAAUUUAUUUUUAGAAUGUUAAGUUUUGUUGGGGUGACAUUAAAAUUUUUUUAACUUUUAAUUAUUUUUUCAUUAAUUAAUGUUUUUAUGAUCCAGAAUUUUUGAUUAUAAGUUUAACUUACCUAAGGGAUAACAGCGUAAUUUAGUUGGAGAGUUCACAUUAAUAACUAAGUUUGCGACCUCGAUGUUGAAUUAAGAUAAGUUUUGGGGGUAAAAUUUCAUUUUCUUGGUCUGUUCGACCAUUAAAUUCUUACAUGAUUUGAGUUCAGACCGGCGUGAGCCAGGUCGGUUUCUAUCCUUAUUUUAUAUAAGUUAGUACGAAAGGACCAUUUAUAUUAAUUAAAUUAUUUUUUUUUUGAAUAAUAUUAAAAAAAAAAAA